ACGGCCUUCGGGUUGUAAACCUCUUUCGACCAGGACGAAGCUAACGUGACGGUACUGGUAGAAGAAGCGCCGGCCAACUACGUGCCAGCAGCCGCGGUAAGACGUAGGGCGCGAGCGUUGUCCGGAUUUAUUGGGCGUAAAGAGCUCGUAGGCGGCUCAUCGCGUCGUGCGUGAAAACCCGUAGCUCAACUGCGGGCUUGCGUUCGAUACGGGUGGGCUGGAGUUCGGUAGGGGAGACUGGAAUUCCUGGUGUAGCGGUGAAAUGCGCAGAUAUCAGGAGGAACACCGGUGGCGAAGGCGGGUCUCUGGGCCGAUACUGACGCUGAGGCACGAAAGCGUGGGGAGCAAACAGGAUUAGAUACCCUGGUAGUCCACGCCCUAAACGAUGAAUACUCGAUGUAUGCCCUAUUGUGGGUGUGCGUCCAAGCAAAAGCGUUAAGUAUUCCACCUGGGAAGUACGGCCGCAAGGUUAAAACUCAGAGGAAUUGACGGGGGCCCGCACAAGCGGAGGAGCAUGUGGUUUAAUUCGAUGGUACGCGAGGAACCUUACCUGGGCUAGAAUGCGAGUGACGUUCCGGGAAACCGGAAUUCCCUUCGGGGCACAAAGCAAGGUGCUGCAUGGCUGUCGUCAGCUCGUGCCUUGAGGUGUUGGGUUAAGUCCCGCAGCGAGCGC
rnacentral:rRNA from 1 species